GAUGAACGCUGGCGGCGUGCUUAAUACAUGCAAGUCGAGCGAACAGACGAGAGUGCUUGCACUCUCUGACGUUAGCGGCGGACGGGUGAGUAACACGUGGGUAACCUACCUAUAAGACUGGGAUAACUUCGGGAAACCGGAGCUAAUACCGGAUAAUAUUUAGCUUCGCAUGAAGCAAUAGUGAAAGACGGUUCUGCUGUCACUUAUAGAUGGACCCGCGGUGUAUUAGCUAGUUGGUGAGGUAACGGCUCACCAAGGCAACGAUACAUAGCCGGCCUGAGAGGGUGACCGGCCACACUGGGACUGAGACACGGCCCAGACUCCUACGGGAGGCAGCAGUGGGGAAUAUUGCACAAUGGGCGAAAGCCUGAUGCAGCGACGCCGCGUGAGGGAUGACGGCCUUCGGGUUGUAAACCUCUUUCAGCAGGGAAGAAGCCACAAGUGACGGUA
rnacentral:rRNA from 1 species